rnacentral:misc_RNA from 1 species
AGUAAAGUAGGAGGACAAGCAAUGACUCUGGGUGAGCUGAAAGAUUUCCAUCCGGAAGAGGGAAUGAUCCUUGCAAAUACCACUUCAGUUGGAAUGAAACCAAGAAUUGAUGAUACCCCACUUCCCAAGGAAGCUCUGAAACACUACUCCUUGGUCUUUGAUGCAAUUUACACACCAAAAUUGACCAGGCUCUUAAGAGAAGCACAGGAAUCUGGGGCCACUAUAGUUUACGGGACCGAGAUGUUCAUCAAUCAAGCAUUUGUACAGUUCGAAAGAUUCACUGGUUUGCCAGCACCAAAACAACUAAUUAGGGAUGUGUUGGCAAGAAAUACAUAGAAGAAAAUUUUUCCAAGUGAAUCUCUUCUUGCAGCUGAAUCUAUAUAUNUUUGCAAUCAGCUGUUCAAUUAUUUUGCUGUAUCAAUAAAUUUCCUUUUGAUGGACAUCUC